UUUGUUCCCCAAAUAGGGACUUGUAUGAAUGGCCACACGAGGGCUUUACUGUCUCUUACUUCCAAUCCGUGAAAUUGACCUUCCCGUGAAGAGGCGGGAAUAUAAUAAUAAGACGAGAAGACCCUAUGGAGCUUCAAUUAACUGACCCAAAGAGACCCUACAAACUAACCGACAGGAACAACAAAUCUCUAUAUGGGCCAACAAUUUAGGUUGGGGUGACCUCGGAGAAUAAAACAACCUCCGAGUGAUUUAAAUCUAGACUAACCAGUCAAAAGUAUUACAUCACUUAUUGAUCCAAAAGUAUUUGAUCAACGGAACAAGUUACCCUAGGGAUAACAGCGCAAUCCUAUUUCAGAGUCCAUAUCGACAAUAGGG
rnacentral:rRNA from 1 species